rnacentral:lncRNA from 1 species
GUAACCCGCUCGGCAAACCGCCUCUACAAGCUCUUCUUUCGACCCGUGCAUCCUGUGUGCCUUGCCGUGGGCCAUGUCUCCGACGCGUGGCGUUGGCAUGCCCGGCUAGGACACCAGCACUUCGACGGGUUGCGGAAGAUGGCGCGAGGCAACCUCGUCCAUGGGCUACCUCACAUCGAGCACGCCGACGAGUUGUGCGAUGCGUGUCUUGCCGGGAAGCAGCGGCGCCUGCCCUUUCCCGAGAAGGCAUGCUAUCGGGCACAGAAACCCCUGGAGCUAGUUCACGGGGACCUCUGCGGCCC